GAUGAACGCUGGCGGCGUGCCUAAUACAUGCAAGUCGAGCGAACGGACGAGAAGCUUGCUUCUCUGAUGUUAGCGGCGGACGGGUGAGUAACACGUGGAUAACCUACCUAUAAGACUGGGAUAACUUCGGGAAACCGGAGCUAAUACCGGAUAAUAUUUUGAACCGCAUGGUUCAAAAGUGAAAGACGGUCUUGCUGUCACUUAUAGAUGGACCCGCGCUGCAUUAGCUAGUUGGUAAGGUAACGGCUUACCAAGGCAACGAGGAAUAGCCGACCUACAGGGUGGCUGGCCAACCCGGAACCUAAGAACGGACCCGGCACCCAACGGAAGCCAGGAGUGGGAAUGCUUACGAAAUGGACGAAAGCCUAACGAACCAAGCCGGGGUGAGUGAUAAGGUUCUUGGGUUCGAAAAACUUUCUAAUUAGGAAAGAACAUAUGUGUAGGUAAAUGUGCACUCCUGGACGGUACCAAAUCAGAAGCAACGGCUAACUACGUG
rnacentral:rRNA from 1 species